UCAUGAGGUGAUGGCGAUUAAUCACUAUAUUGAUCGUCUGGCAGUGCUGUUAUAAGCUUCAAGUUUGCUUUCUGUAAAUCAAUAAAGUACUAUACGGCUGUUCAAAAGUUAUAAAUCAAUUGAGAGAAAACAAAUUCGUGUUAAGAACUAAAACUGAGGGAAACACAUCAAUAAUAAGAGGAAAACAACGAAACAACACACACUAAGAUGCAACAAAAAUAAACGUCAACAAACAUAGAAACGAAUUGUUUGAUAACAACUGUGGUAUUCCGGGAGCUUAAAACAGCACCGGACGAUCGAUUUAGUCAUUGACCGCCAUCACAUUUUCAGAAUAAAAUUGUUAAAUAAUUGUAAAAGUAUUAUAAGAUUUACAAAUUGUAAAAACAUGCUGAUAAUAAGACAGGUCAAUGGCUUUUAAUCGGUUGUGGUUUUCGUGAAGAUCAGUUAAACACAUUUCCCCGCAUAAUGACAGUGUGUUGUAUUUCCC
rnacentral:lncRNA from 1 species